UCUCCUGUAGCUCAGUGGUAGAGAGUCCGACCGGUGUACGGAAGGUCAUAGGUUUGACUUCUGUGAGGAGAA
rnacentral:tRNA from 1 species